CGUAGGGUGCGAGCGUUAAUCGGAAUUACUGGGCGUAAAGUGUGCGCAGGCGGCGCUGCAAGUCGAGUGUGAAAUCCCCGAGCUUAACUUGGGAAUUGCGCUCGAAACUACGGCGCUGGAGUAUGGCAGAGGAAGGUGGAAUUCUACGUGUAGCGGUGAAAUGCGUAGAGAUGUGGAGGAACACCGAUGGCGAAGGCAGCCUUCUGGGCCAAUACUGACGCUCAUGCACGAAAGCGUGGGGAGCAAACAGGAUUAGAUACCCUGGUAGUCCACGCCCUAAACGAUGAUGACUAGUUGUUGGAGGAGUUAAAUCCUUUAGUAACGCAGCUAACGCGUGAAGUCAUCCGCCUGGGGAGUACGGUCGCAAGAUUA
rnacentral:rRNA from 1 species